GACGUGGGGUGCAAGCGUUGUCCGGAUUUACUGGGCGUAAAGAGCGCGUAGGCGGUCUGUUAAGUGUAGAGUGAAAUCUCCAGGGCUCAACCCGGAAACUGCUCUGCAUACUGGCAGACUGGAGGGACUGAGAGGUGAAUGGAAUUCCUGGUGUAGCGGUGAAAUGCGUAGAUAUCAGGAGGAACACCCAUGGCGAAGGCAGUUCACUGGCAGUCUCCUGACGCUGAGGCGCGAAAGCGUGGGUAGCAAACAGG
rnacentral:rRNA from 1 species